GAGCGAAACCACCGGCUGUGGCUCAGCAGUGGCCGGUGGUCUGCCGUAUGUGGUGAUACGGCACUGAUGAGCAGCCAAAG
rnacentral:hammerhead_ribozyme from 1 species